rnacentral:rRNA from 1 species
UACGAAGGGGGCUAGCGUUGUUCGGAAUCACUGGGCGUAAAGCGCACGUAGGCGGAUUUGUAAGUCAGGGGUGAAAUCCCGGGGCUCAACCUCGGAACUGCCUUUGAUACUGCGAAUCUUGAGUCCGAUAGAGGUGGGUGGAAUUCCUAGUGUAGAGGUGAAAUUCGUAGAUAUUCGGAAGAACACCAGUGGCGAAGGCGACUCACUGGCCCGUUACUGACGCUGAUGCACGAAAGCUAGGGGAGCAAACAGG